UUAAAGGAUCAACAUUAACGCAGCAGAAACUUUCUGUUUUGUUCCAUACACCGUUGUCCCUUGUCAAAACCUGACGCCAUUACCCAUAAUGCAAAUGGACUGCCGACAGUUCAGGUGUGUUAUGGUAGUAGCGGCGGCAGCCAAUGAAGGAUCAAGCUACUAGCCUCAAGCAGAGAUGAGGAGCGAGCCACAAAGGUCUGGAAACACAUGAAGAAAAUGCAAACCCCCACACAGGAAGGCCCCAGCUGACUGUACUGCCCGAAACACUAAAACUGUAUCGAUACAAGAUCUGUUUUGAAGAUGAAAAUUGAACAUUGCAGGGAAAAGGCUUCUUCACCACAGACCAAGUUCACUGCAUUCACGAAGACCACUGAUGAGGUGAACCAAGACUUGGUAUAACCCGUGACGACAUGGAUGACAUCAGCAAAAGCAUAAAAUAGGGAAGUGUUUGGCCGCCAAUUCCUGUAACUAAUGGAGUCCAUGAGACACAGAGGAGAAACAUUUCAGAGAGGAAAUCCCAGACGAGACCAUGCUUAUCGGUCAGUGACCCUAAGCACAUUGCCAAGACAACGCAGGAGUGGCUUAGGAACAACUGUAAUUGUCUAGAGUGGCCCAGCCAGACCUGACUUGAACCCAAUCAAACAUCUCUGGAGAGACCUGAAAAUGGAUUUGUACUCACAGUCCCCAUCCAACCUGGCAGAGCUUGAGAGGAUCUGCACAGAAGAAUGGCAGAAAAUGACCAAAUCCAGGUGUGCAAAGGUUUUUGUGUCAUACCCAAGAAGACAUGAGACUGUAAUUUGUGCAAAAGCUGCUUCAACUAAGUGCUGAGUAAAAGGUCUGAAUUCUUCUUAUUUCCUUUGAAUAAAUUUGCAAAAAUGUCCAAAAUUCUUUUAGUUUUGACUUUGUCAUUAUGGGAUACUGCGUGUAGA